UACGGAGGGUGCGAGCGUUGUCCGGAAUCACUGGGCGUAAAAGGCGCGUAGGUGGCGUAGGAAGUCAACGGUGAAAGUUCGGGGCUCAACCCUGAAUCGGCCGUCGAUACUCCUGGGCUCGAGCACUGUAGAGGCAGAUGGAAUUCCGGGUGUAGCGGUGGAAUGCGUAGAGAUCCGGAAGAACACCGGUGGCGAAGGCGGUCUGCUGGGCAGUUGCUGGCACUGAGGCGCGACAGCGUGGGGAGCAAACAGG
rnacentral:rRNA from 1 species